rnacentral:rRNA from 1 species
UACGAAGGGGGCUAGCGUUGCUCGGAAUCACUGGGCGUAAAGGGUGCGUAGGCGGGUCUUUAAGUCAGGGGUGAAAUCCUGGAGCUCAACUCCAGAACUGCCUUUGAUACUGUCGGGCUUGAGUUCCGGAGAGGAUGGUGGAAUUCCCAGUGUAGAGGUGAAAUUCGUAGAUAUUCGCAAGAACACCAGUGGCGAAGGCGGCUCACUGGCCCGGUACUGACGCUGAGGUGCGAAAGCGUGGGGAGCAAACAGG